rnacentral:misc_RNA from 1 species
UCUCCGUUGGUGAACCAGCAGAGGGAUCAUUACCGAGUAGCAAAACUCCCAAACCUUUGUCAACGUUACCUAUUCCGUUGCAUCGGAGGGCGCUCCGGGCCCCGCGCCCCGCGCCCCCCGGCCCCCCGUGGGCGCCCGCCCGACGUAAACCAAUCUCUUGAAUUGCAUGGCCUAUCUUAUUCUUCUGUACUGAAUAAGUCAAAACUUUCAACAACGGAUCUCUUGGUUCUC